rnacentral:rRNA from 1 species
UCCGUAGGUGAACCUGCGGAAGGAUCAUUACUGAUUUGCUUAAUUGCACCACAUGUGUUUUUCUUUGAAACAAACUUGCUUUGGCGGUGGGCCCAGCCUGCCGCCAGAGGUCUAAACUUACAACCAAUUUUUUAUCAACUUGUCACACCAGAUUAUUACUAAUAGUCAAAACUUUCAACAACGGAUCUCUUGGUUCUCGCAUCGAUGAAGAACGCAGCGAAAUGCGAUACGUAAUAUGAAUUGCAGAUAUUCGUGAAUCAUCGAAUCUUUGAACGCACAUUGCGCCCUCUGGUAUUCCGGAGGGCAUGCCUGUUUGAGCGUCGUUUCUCCCUCAAACCGCUGGGUUUGGUGUUGAGCAAUACGACUUGGGUUUGCUUGAAAGACGGUAGUGGUAAGGCGGGAUCGCUUUGACAAUGGCUUAGGUCUAACCAAAAACAUUGCUUGCGGCGGUAACGUCUACUACGUAUAUCUUCAAACUUUGACCUCAAAUCAAGGGUAGGACUACCCGCUGAACUUAAGCAUAUCAAUAAGCGGAGGAA